GACAGAGGUCCCGAGCGUUAGGCGGAAUCACUGGGCUUAAAGCGUGUGUAGGCGGACGGGUAAGUACCUUGUGAAAUCCCACGGCUCAACCGUGGAACUGCUUGGUAUACUGCCUGUCUUGAGCCAGCUAGGGGCAACCGGAACAAAUGGUGGAGCGGUGAAAUGCGUAGAUAUCAUUUGGAACGCCAAUGGUGAAAACAGGUUGCUGGGGCUGUGCUGACGCUGAGAAGCGAAAGCAUGGGGAGCGAACAGG
rnacentral:rRNA from 1 species